CAGUCAGGGUUGAGGCCUUGAAGAGAAAUGAUGACAAAAAUCAUGCUCGAUAAAAUUACACUGAGGCUC